rnacentral:rRNA from 1 species
UACGAAGGGGGCUAGCGUUGUUCGGAAUCACUGGGCGUAAAGAGCGCGCAGGCGGUCGUUCAAGUCGCGUGUGAAAGCCCCCGGCUCAACUGGGGAGGGUCACGCGAUACUGAUCGACUCGAAGGCAGGAGAGGGUAGUGGAAUUCCCGGUGUAGCGGUGAAAUGCGCAGAUAUCAGGAGGAACACCAGCGGCGAAGGCGGCGCUCUGGGCCGGUACUGACGCUGAGGAGCGAAAGCGUGGGGAGCAAACAGG